UUGCGGUCAUAUCACGUUGAAACACCUGUUCUCGUGCGAUCAUCGAAGUUAAGCAACGUCGUCUAGUCAGAAACUAGAUGGGUGACCGUUUAGAAAUACCAGGUGCUGUAA